rnacentral:misc_RNA from 1 species
UACGGAGGGUGCAAGCGUUACUCGGAAUUACUGGGCGUAAGCGCGCGUAGGUGGUUUGAUCAGCGAGAUGGGAAAGCCCCGGGCUUAACCUGGGAACGGCAUUUCGAACUGUCAGGCUAGAGUAUGGCAGAGGAGUGUGGAAUUUCCAGUGUAGCGGUGAAAUGCGUAGAUAUAGGAAGGAACACCAGUGGCGAAGGCGGCACUCUGGACCAAUACUGACCCUGAGGUGCGAAAGCGUGGGGAGCAAACAGG